rnacentral:SRP_RNA from 2 species
CUGGAGAGUCUUAUGGACGUGACUCUUGCUAACCCGGUCAGGUUCGAAAGAAAGCAGCCGUAACAAUGAUAACGGGUCAUGGGGCUCUCUUUUAAGU